rnacentral:rRNA from 1 species
CCUACGGGAGGCAGCAGUGGGGAAUAUUGGACAAUGGGCGAAAGCCUGAUCCAGCAAUGCCGCGUGAGUGAAGAAGGCCUUAGGGUUGUAAAGCUCUUUCGCCUGCGACGAUGAUGACGGUAGCAGGAGAAGAAGCCCCGGCUAAUUCCGUGCCAGCAGCCGCGGUAAUACGGAAGGGGCUAGCGUUGUUCGGAAUUACUGGGCGUAAAGCGCGCGUAGGCGGCUUGGCAAGUGAGGCGUGAAAGUCCUGGGCUCAACCUGGGGACGGCGCUUCAGACUGCUUGGCUUGAGUCCGGAAGAGGGUGGUGGAAUUCCGAGUGUAGAGGUGAAAUUCGUAGAUAUUCGGAGGAACACCGGUGGCGAAGGCGGCCACCUGGUCCGGAACUGACGCUGAAGUGCGAAAGCGUGGGGAGCAAACAGGAUUAGAUACCCUGGUAGUCCACGCUGUAAACGAUGGGUGCUAGAUGUUGGGAAGCUUGCUUUUCGGUGUCGUAGCUAACGCGUUAAGCACCCCGCCUGGGGAGUACGGCCGCAAGGUUAAAACUCAAAGGAAUUGACGG